rnacentral:tRNA from 1 species
GGACCGGUAGCUCAGUUGGUAGAGCACGGGAUUGAAAAUCCUGGUGUCGGCAGUUCAAAUCUGCCUCGGUCCACCA